rnacentral:rRNA from 1 species
GACGAACCGUGCAAACGUUAUUCGGAAUCACUGGGCUUAUAGCGUGCGUAGGCGGCUCAGUAAGUUGGGUGUGAAAUCCCUCGGCUUAACCGAGGAAUUGCGCCCAAAACUACUGGGCUUGAGGGAGUUAGAGGUGAGCGGAACUCACGGUGGAGCGGUGAAAUGCGUUGAUAUCGUGAGGAACACCGGAGGCGAAGGCGGCUCACUGGGGCUUAUCUGACGCUGAGGCACGGAAGCUAGGGGAGCAAACGGG